GAUGAAGAACGUAGCGAAAUGCGAUAAGUAAUGUGAAUUGCAGAAUUCAGUGAAUCAUCGAAUCUUUGAACGCACAUUGCGCCCAUUAGUAUUCUAGUGGGCAUGCCUGUUCGAGCGUCAUUGCUGCCCUCAAGCACGGCUUGUGUGUUGGGCCCCGUCCUCCGAUCCCGGGGGACGGGCCCGAAAGGCAGCGGCGGCACCGCGUCCGGUCCUCGAGCGUAUGGGGCUUUGUCACCCGCUCUGUAGGCCCGGCCGGCGCUUGCCGAUCAACCCAAAUUUUUAUCCAGGUUGACCUCGGAUCAGGUAGGGAUACCCGCUGAACUUAAGCAUAUCAAUAAGCGGAGGA
rnacentral:misc_RNA from 1 species